AUGACCCCUAAACGACCCCUAACACUAAGGACAAGUGUUGAUCAGUUGUGGUGUGUGCUAGACUUUGUUGUCAAUCAAUUGUGGUGCUUGAAACCACUAUAUAAAGCCUAAGUUGCAACCAUAAGUUCACACCCCAUCAUCUGCAUCAUUUGGUCAUUUCUGGAGCUCCAACUUCCUCUCAAGUGGUCACACUAGGUGCAUAGGACCUCAAAUAAGGAGCCCCCGUAAAAGAUAUCGGUGAUUUAAUUGAUUAAGGAAUAUACAUUGCAAAGAUUAAGUGCAGGUACCUAAACGUAAAUUGGCUGGUAUUAGCUCC